rnacentral:rRNA from 1 species
GACGUAGGGGGCAAGCGUUGUUCGGAAUUAUUGGGCGUAAAGCGCUCGUAGGCGGGACAGGAAGUUCGUGUUGAAAGACCUCGGCUCAACUGAGGGACCGGCUCGAAUACUCUUGUUCUUGAGGCAAUCAGAGGGUGAUGGAAUUCCCGGUGUAGCGGUGAAAUGCGCAGAUAUCAGGAGGAACACCUGUGGCGAAAGCGGCGCACUGGACCACAACUGACGCUGAGGCGCGAAAGCUAGGGGAGCAAACAGG